GUUUGCUUAGGAAACUCCUAUUAAAAUCAGAGCAAUACAGAGAAGAUUCCCAUGGACCCUGCAAAAAGGAGGGCAUGCAAAUUCUUAAAAGCCUCCACAUUUUU
rnacentral:snRNA from 1 species